CUAUUGCCGCUGUCGCAGCGU
rnacentral:snRNA from 1 species